CAGUUCGGAUUGAAGGCUGAAAUUCGCCUUCAUGAAGCCGGAAUUGCUAGUAAUGGCAGGUCAGCAUACUGCCGUGAAUACGUUCCCGGGCCUUGUACACACCGCCCGUCACACCAUGAGAGCCGGGGGACCCGAAGUCGGUAGUCUAACCGUAAGGAGGACGCCGCCGAAGGUAAAACUGGUGAUUGGGGUGAAGUCGUAACAAGGUACC
rnacentral:rRNA from 1 species